AAGCAAUCCUCGCACCUCAGCCUCUCAAUGUGUUGGGAUUGCCUAUUUUUAUUUUUUAAUAUAACAAUAGAUCCCCAUAGUUUUCUGAAGAGGCUCUUUCAAGAGCUUCAGGUCUUAUGAGGCUGCAGGGAUCCUAGCAUCUGAGAAGCCAGUGGGGGAAAGAUGGACAAUAGAGAGGGCCUCUUCAGUGUUUUUCCUUUAAUGAGGGUUUGAUCCCCUCAAUGACAGCAUCAGGAUUGGAGAGGACCCAGUGCAUCAUUACCAAGCCCAAGUUGCCUUUGCAAAGAGAACCACCCCAUAAGGAUGAGAACCACCCCAAACCUUCUUGUCUGGAGUCAGAAGGCUCAGGCUGAAAUUCUGUUUCUGCCUCUUCCUUGUGGUGUGCACUUAGGCAAGUGACUUACCUCUCUGUGUGUUGUGUUCUUCACCCUAAAUGGGCACAAUAACAGCACUCACCUCAAACGGCCUGCAAUAUGUAAGCUCUCAGAUGAUGUUUUCCUUUGUGAUAGGUGCAUGGGCAGGUGAAGAGAGUCAAACAUCAGGCCCAGGGUUCUCACUCCACUGCAUUACUCCAUCUACCUGCCCACGGAUAAAUCACUUCACCGUUCUGAGCCUCACUUUCUUCAUUUGUUAAGUGGGCUAAUAAUGGAUGGAUGUCAUAGUGCUGUGUAACAGUAAACAACAACAUGCCAUUAAACAGAAGCUAGUUAUGCAUGUGGAGUAAUGAUGUCUGCAUUUUUGGGGACUGCCAAGUCUGAUAAGAUUGAAGAGCAUCUCAGCUGGGCACGGUAGCUCAUGCCUGUAAUCCCAGCACUUGGGGAGGCUGAGGCGAUGCUCUGUGUCUGAUAGGGGUUAAGGAAGUCAUCACUCCCAUCUGGUCUAUCAAAAGGGCUGCAAAACUAUGCAGGCAAACGACCUGGGCACUGCCUUUAUCGAGCUGUGCAGCCAUUGAACAAGGGCAUCCAACUUCACCAAACUAGGAAAGCCUGCAUGUGCACAUCCAUCUCUGCUGUUGGGAUUGGGGCCUAUGCCUGUUCCCAUUCUGUAUGCUGUGUGCUUGACACAGUGCCUGGUGCAUUACGUGCUCAAGAAAUAUGUAUUGAUUGAUGGAUGAAUAAAUGAAAUCAUCUGCAUCCGUGGAUGAAUAGAUGGUCAAUUACAUUGUCAAUUUUCUACCCUGUGGGUGGAGUGGAAAAAGCAGUCAGAAUCUUGGUCCUUUUGCAAAUGGUGGAAAAGGACAAUAUUUGUAGAGUGUGUACAGACUUUGCAGUCAGAGCCAUGUUCAAUUCUCAAUAUUGCCGUAUCUUAGCAGUGAGCUUAUUCAAACGUCAGUUUAAGAAAAUGUGCUAACCUUCAGCUUCCUCAUCUGUAAAAUGAGGAUAAAAAUAUUGCCUCCUUUAUAAAAUUAUUGUGUAGAUGCUAUAAAUUUGUACAUGCCAGGGCCUGGCAUGUUACCAAAUAGAAGGUGGUAGAAUGGAAAUGAAUCUCCUUCUUACUUCCCCUCUGCACUACACAGAUUUCAAGGAUAUUGUUUUAUACCCAGCCAAGUCUGAAGCACUGGAAGUGGAUCCGAUCUUUUACCUAACUCUAGCAUUGAUGUUUUUUAUUCUGUUGAAGGCAUCAAUAUUUGUUUAAUAGUAUAAAUCUUAAAUAAACAUCUAAACUACAUAUUACAGAUGAUGAAAGUCAUUUCUGCACAGAAGAUUAUCUCACAUGAUCAUGUUUCCUUUGUUAUCUGAGGCCUCUGUAGUUGGCAAAUCUCUGCAGCUACUUAAAUGAUAACAUUAGUCCUAAUGCCAUGUAAAAUGACUAGUUCCUCAGGGUAGGUUUAUUUUUAAUAGUGUAUGUCAGCAGCAAAUAGCUUGGAAGACCCCAGAGGAAAAAGCACAGCUCAGGCUCUCACUGAAGCGAUGAUGUAGAUAUAUUUAAUAUCUAUAUUAAAAACCUUUUAGGUGCCAUGGUGAUAUUGAAUUGGAUAGUUAGGCGUGUGCAGGGAAAAUCCUGGGCUGUUUAUAGAGCAUGAUGGAGUGUGCAUUCUAGAAACCAUUUGAGGUUCUUCAAAGUCAAAUUUGGGCCUCAAAAAUCUUUGAGAGACAUUUGACCCCAGUAGUAAAAUACUCUGAAAUACAAGCUGGGAGAAUAAAAUCACCUCCUUUUCUCUUUCUUGAUAUGCCCGUUGAUAAAUUUGCUGCGCUAUUAAAAUGUUUAAUCACUUGCCUCCAGCAAGAGCAAGCUUCUGUCUGAAGUUGCAAUUUAUUAGAGUGCCCAGAACAUACUUGCUGUUUACCCAAAAGAUGGCCAGGGGAUUCUUACAGAGAAAACAAACCACAAUUUGAAAUCAAGCAUAGAGUGGCAGAUGAAUGGAUUGAAGGCUAAAAUUAUUUUGGAGUUGAUUUCAGGGGAGAGAUGAUAAAACCUGCACUGAUUUUCUAUCCCAAAGGCACAGGGUUAAAUCAUACAGUGGCCACAGGUCUGGCCUGUGAGAUAUCCCUGGGACAGUUGGUAAAAGUGGUGCCUGGCCUGUCUUGGGGAGGGGAGAAGAGGCAGCAGAGGAAAGGGCUGCUUGCUAGAAGCAUACCUUCCAAGAAGAGGCAUUUCUCUCUGCUUUAGGGUUUGGUCAGAGAAGCUCAGCCUGGAAGGACAAUGAACAGAUAGGUGUCUGGUUUCAGCAGAAUGCUGUGCCCAAACCCUCCUCCCUCCUUCUCUUCUAUGGACCUCACUCUGGCCUUUCAGACUCAUCCCAGGCAAACUGAGUCAUGGGGCAGGGAAAUGCCUUCAAGACAGUGAGCAUCAUUCAGUUAUGGCACCUGAAGGCCUCUUGCUAGUGGCACAACACCAUGGACCUAGCCCUUGGAGGAAGUGGAGUGGAGGGGCCCCUUGGAGGGCCAUGGAUAAUUAACUCCUUCCAGAAACUGGUAUCCAGGACUAUGCCUCGGAGGGCGCCUACAGAUAAUGAGCCUACCAUCAGGUCACAAUUUUCUAAACACAGAUGUGUAAAGAUAUAAGGAAUUUCCUGUUUAUCAUCCUGUCUUUGCCUAUACAAAUUCCUUUUUAAAUCUGCAUGAUUGUAUCCCAAACCGGGUUAUAAAGAAUAGCAGAUAUUCUGGCAGAAAAGAAUACUACGGCUUAAUAAAUUUGGGAAAUACUGCAUGCCUUGAAUCACCAGAUACAAUGGCAUAUUAAUGACUCUCCUAUGUCCUGAACUGAAAAACUAGCAAACGAAACUGGUUUCACUCUGUUUCCCCCAGUGUUUCUUCAAAUAGUUUGGCUAUGAACUGCUUUCUUCACAGAACAGCUAUCAUCAUCUUACCUUUGUGGAAGGCAGUUUGAGAAUUGCUGUGUUACGGUAGGCAGAAUUCUAAAAAUGCCCUUGUUUCCCCCAAGAUUCUCCUCUUCUGUUGACUCAAUUGAACAUUAACACAAAUGCUGCUGAGAGGGAAUUUUGCAGAUGCAAAUAAAGCCCUAAGUAAAUCGACUUUAAAAUGUGGAGAGUAUCUGGGUGAACCUGACCCAAUCAGGUGACCUCUUAAUUGAAAAGGUGAGGAUUUGAUGUUCCUUCUGUGGCUUUGAAGGUGGAGGGAACCCCAUGAGAAGGAAUAUGAGCAGCCUGGAGAGGCCGAGACCAACCCCAACCCCCAGCUGACAGUGACAAAAUGUGGAUGUCAGACCUGAAGCCACAAGGAACAGGAUUCUGUCAACAACUGUAAAAAAUUGGAAGCAGAAUAUUUCCCAAAUCCCCCAGAUAAGAACCCAGUUGGCUGACACUUUGAUGUUGGCCUUGUGAGACUCUGAGCAGAGUCCAGGUGAGACUGCCUGGACUUCUGACCUAUAGAAUCGUGGGAUAUUAAAUGGAUGUUGUUUUAAGCUGCUAAAUUUGUGGUAAUUCAUUUCGCAACAACAGAAAACUACUACAUACUGAUUCAGAGAAAUCAAAACAGAAGUGGUACACUCUUCUCUACCCUUUUACAUUCACAAGGUGUUUCCAAUGUAACACUCAUAUAUGGUGAGGGCAGUUGUCUCUCUUUUUACAGGUGAUGAUAUAGACUCAGAGAGAUUAAGUUACUUGCCCAGGACACUCAUCCAGGAAAUGGGGGAAGAGGACUUGAAUGGGCUUUUUUGUGUGUGAGUUAGGAUGGGGUGGGGGCGUGUUUCCUUUACUGUCUUUUGCAUUCAAAUAGGAAAAGGCAUUUGGAGAGACUGCAAUUGGGAGCUUGCAAAGGAGGAUGAAAAAAAAAAAUUCAGGGAAGAACACAUCAAGCAGCAAGUUCAACUGCUUCAUCAGAGAGGUCCUUUCUUUCAUCUCUUGUGUCUGAGCAGAAAAGCUGUUAGAAAAAGGACCUACAGCUGUGAGCCAGUGACAAUGUGUGGGGGCAGGGUCUUAUGAGGCCACCGGAAGUGGGCUGCUGGGAUGCUUUAUAUGGACAACUAAGGGCGAAGACACGCAGGCCUGUAAUAUCAAGAGAAACAGUGUUUGCAGGCUGACCUCCCAGAUGGGUGGUUUGCAGAGGUGGGGCUGCCUGCAUAAUUAAUCAGCUCUAGCUUUCUUCGCCACAACUAGCAUUCCUACCUGUACCCAUAGCCCUUAAGGGGCCCCUCACUCAGUGUCAUGGAGCAGCACAAGUCAUCUGGGACCACUCCCCACUAACCCCCACGGACAGAAGUGGAGACUGAAGCCCAGAAAAGGAACAGGACUUCCUCAAGGUCACAGUCAAGGAUCCCCUAACAUAUGACAAUUCUCUGUGGUGGUUAGUGAUGGCUUCCUGAUGAGCCAGUGUUCAUUACUGAGCAAAUUGUGUGUGUGUGUGUGUAUGUGUGUGUGUGUGUGUUUUGUGUCCAGUAUGAAAGUCAGAACUGUGAAGUGUUACUAUUGUCCUAAUAAUAAUAGAAGUCAAUACCCAUAGAAUAGAUACCCAGUGCUUGAUGCUGUCUUGAAAGUGCUACGUUUUAACUCCAUUCUCACAGCAAGCUCAUGAGGUAGUCGGGAAAUCAUUAGGGUUCUUAACAAAUGUUUCUGUCCAGAAGUGGAUCCAGGUUUUGCCGAGCUUAAAGCUUAUCCAAUUUGUGGGGACCUCUUGAAAGAAAGGAAUACCAACUUACAAAUAUAAAUUAGGCACAGGGUCCCAUGAAAGAGAAGAGCUUGGAAGCAUUACAGUAAGUCUGUUAGUUGCAAGUUAAUGCUCCCUGCCCCUUGUGAAGUUAGGCAAGAGCAUGUAACUUACUUUGGCCAAUGGGAUGUGAAUGAAAUUGAUGUGUGCCACUUCUGGGUGGAAGUCUUAAGACUUAGUGAGUGAUUCUCCACUUUGUUUCCUAACCCUGACUC
rnacentral:lncRNA from 1 species